rnacentral:rRNA from 1 species
CCUACGGGGGGCUGCAGUGAGGAAUAUUGGUCAAUGGGCUUACGCCUGAACCAGCCAAGUCGCGUGAGGGAAGACUGCCCUAUGGGUUGUAAACCUCUUUUGUCAGGGAGCAACGCCGGCUACGUGUAGCCGGACUGAGAGUACAUGAAGAAAAAGCAUCGGGAAACUCCGUGCCAGCAGCCGCGGUAAUACGGGGGAUGCGAUCGUUAUCGGGAUUGAUGGGGUUUAAAGGGUGCGUAGGCGGAAUGCCAAGUCAGCGGUAAAAUCGCGGGGCUCAACCUCGCUCCGCAGUUGAAACUGGCGUUGUUGAGUGGGCGAGAAGUAUGCGGAAUGCGUGGGGUAGCGGUGAAAUGCAUAGAUAUCACGCAGAACUCCGAUUGCGAAGGCAGCAUACCGGCGCCCAACUGACGCUGAAGCACGAAAGCGUGGGUAUCGAACAGGAUUAGAUACCCGGGUAGUC